UGGGGAAUAUUGGACAAUGGGCGCAAGCCUGAUCCAGCCAUGCCGCGUGAGUGAUGAAGGCCCUAGGGUUGUAAAGCUCUUUCACCGGUGAAGAUAAUGACGGUAACCGGAGAAGAAGCCCCGGCUAACUUCGUGCCAGCAGCCGCGGUAAUACGAAGGGGGCUAGCGUUGUUCGGAUUUACUGGGCGUAAAGCGCACGUAGGCGGACUUUCAAGUCAGGGGUGAAAUCCCGGGGCUCAACCCCGGAACUGCCUUUGAUACUGGAAGUCUUGAGUAUGGUAGAGGUGAGUGGAAUUCCGAGUGUAGAGGUGAAAUUCGUAGAUAUUCGGAGGAACACCAGUGGCGAAGGCGGCUCACUGGACCAUUACUGACGCUGAGGUGCGAAAGCGUGGGGAGCAAACAGG
rnacentral:rRNA from 1 species